rnacentral:rRNA from 1 species
GUAGGGAACAUUGGGCAAUGGUCGGAAGACUGACCCAGCCAUGCCGCGUGCAGGAAGACGGCCCUCUGGGUUGUAAACUGCUUUUAUCUGGGAAGAAAAAGGCCAUGCGUGGCAAAUUGCCGGUACCAGAUGAAUAAGCACCGGCUAACUCCGUGCCAGCAGCCGCGGUAAUACGGAGGGUGCGAGCGUUGUCCGGAUUUAUUGGGUUUAAAGGGUGAGUAGGCGGCUGAUUAAGUCAGCGGUGAAAGACUUCGGCUUAACCGGAGCAGUGCCGUUGAUACUGGUUGGCUUGAGUGUCGGAGGGGUACAUGGAAUUGAUGGUGUAGCGGUGAAAUGCAUAGAUACCAUCAGGAACACCGAUAGCGAAGGCAUUGUACUGGCCGACAACUGACGCUGAUGCACGAAAGUGUGGGGAUCGAACAGGAUUAGAUACCCUGGUAGUCC